UUGAUGUCUGAGUAAUUUAUUCUUAGGCCAUGAUCCUGUCACCUUAGGUCGAUCGGUACCUCAAGUUGAGAGCCAAACAAAACUAAGAAAUUAGGUUUUAGGUUGGUAAUCAACUUCAGUUCCUAAACUUUUGUCUAGGUCACACCCAACAAGGGGUACUCCUGGGCCAUUAGCUCAGGUGGUUAGAGCGCACCCCUGAUAAGGGUGAGGUCCCUGGUUCAAGUCCAGGAUGGCCCAUUCGGUGUUGGGGGUAUAGCUCAGUUGGUAGAGCGCCUGCUUUGCAAGCAGGAUGUCAGCGGUUCGAGUCCGCUUACCUCCACUGAUCGACUUCCUGACAGCAAACCUUGGAGAUGUUUCUUUUAAGGUGUGAUUUAGACCAUGUUUUUCUGAAUGAACCUAGCUUCCUAUCAUUCCUAUUUAUAUCCAAAGGAUAAUUUAGAUGAGGUUGAUAAGAUGCUGGGCUCACUACGAUUCGCAAGAAUUGUAGAUGAAGUUCAGUAGAACCUUGACAACUGCAUAGGUGAGUCUGGAAAGAAUAAAGCAUCUCAUAGAUGCAUUAUUCUUCGAAACUAAUUUUUAAAUAUAGGAAUGAUUUUUCUAUAUUUAAAAAUUGAUUGAGAUGAGUAAUGUUAAUUCUUGAGCAAGAGCAAAGACUCUAUAAUAUUCUUGAUACAACUUUAUUGAGAAUAUAAUUAAACAAAUUAGAUUAAUCUGGUUUGCUUGAUUAAGAUAUAAGGACAUUAUUGUCCUUUGCUUUGUAGAGAGUAAUGGUCAAGCUACAA
rnacentral:tRNA from 1 species